GACGCGAGGGGCGAGCAUUUUCCUUCUGACUUGGCGUAAAGCGUUCUUAGAUGGUCGUAUAUGCUGUAAUAGAAAUGUUAGGGUGAAACCUUAAAAGUUAUUAUUGUCAUAAGUUAUAUAGAGAUUAUCAAGGGUUAACCAGAUUUUUAUGGAGUUGGGGUAGAAUCUUAACCAUGAAGGAAUGUCAUAAUUGGCUAUGGCGGGUCUCUAGGAUAUUUUUCUUUCAUUUAUAGAGCGAGGGCGUGGGGAGCAAACAGG
rnacentral:rRNA from 1 species